CGUUCUCCUCUCUCCCCUGGUAUCUGUAUGUAUCUAAAUAUAUACAUGUAUGUUGGUAUUUCUGUGUACAUGUAUGCGAGUAGAGUGCGUCUGUACGCUGAAAAGGAAUUAGGCUCGUAUCACAUUGCAAUAUUUGCUGGAUUUUCAACACCUAAAGUGUCGUUAGCUAUUAUGAUAACGGAGAGGCUUCGUGAUUCAAGGUGUUCUUCGUCGCUGUGGUUUUUCGCGCGCUGGUUCUUAGAGUUCUGACGCUAAUGGCGGUGAUCAGCUUUAAUUCUCUUCUGCCUAUAUGUAGAAAUCGAAAUAAAAUAUAAUAAGAGAUUUUUAUAGCUAAUUGUUCUCAAUUAAUUAAUUGAAUUUAUGUUUAAUGGUUGAUUUUUUGACGGAGAAGAAUGAGGCUGAGGAUCAACAAGCUCUGAAAAAGCCAUAGAAAAACUUUGGCCCCUCUAAUGCCAAAGUCAUUUAAUGGAUAUUUCAAAUUUUUUUUUAAUGUUUUGGUUAGAAAUGUUGGAGAUGGGUGCGAUCUUGGGAGGAGGGUUCUAAAGCUGUUGAAGAUUAGAAGGAUUCAGCUGUGGAAAGAAGCUUGGAAAAUGGAACUGCAAGUCUGCAAGCCAUGAUGAAAGAAAUCAACCCCUCCAAUUGGUCCAGAAGGAAUACAAAAAAUUGUGUGGAAAGAAUACAAAAGGACCCUUGUUUGAUACACGUGAAAGAAAGUGCUAUAUUCCCUGCUGAUUUUACAUGUCACUCUGAGUUUCAGAUAUUCCAAGAACUUAAAGCUGGUAGGAGAGAAAACUUGUCACAGUAUCAGAAGCAAAUUGCCAAAGAACAUGUUGCAAAUGUUGAAAAAGAGCUAGAGAAGUGGCAAUAUGGGCAGGAGAGGUAAGAGAACAAACAAUGAUGCACCUAAUCUUCAAGAGAGCUAGAAACCCGCAGGCUUCAGAAUGGACCGCCAAGACUGGAAAGCCCCCAAGUGGCGACAACAAUGAAGAUGUUUAUGUCGUUUCAGGGUACUGUAUUCGAAUGUAAAUUCGAUAUAGCAAGAAGGGUGACAAUUGGGAAGGAUCGUGUUCUACUCAAUCCUUGAUCUCAUCAUCUAUUCAAACGGUAGAGGUAAGGAAUGAAUACAAAAAUUAUUGGGCUUUCUUGAUUAGUUUCAUACUUCUAUUUACUUUACUGACAGAUGAUUUGAUUUGUUUGCUUACCAUUUCCACAUAUAAUUGCGAUAACAUGGAUUACAUUUCAAGCCAUUUCUUACUUUCUCCCACCUCCAAAGUCAAAAAUGCACAUGACUUGGGAGUGU